rnacentral:rRNA from 1 species
CAGCAGCCACGGGAAUACGAAGGGUGCAAGCGUUACUCGGAAUUACUGGGCGUAAAGCGUGCGUAGGUGGUGGUUUAAGUCCGUUGUGAAAGCCCUGGGCUCAACCUGGGAAUUGCAGUGGAUACUGGGUCACUAGAGUGUGGUAGAGGAUAGUGGAAUUUCCGGUGUAGCAGUGAAAUGCGUAGAGAUCGGAAGGAACAUCUGUGGCGAAGGCGACUAUCUGGGCCAACACUGACACUGAGGCACGAAAGCGUGGGGAGCAAACAGGAUUAGAUACCCCGUAGUCCCUGUCUCUUAUACA